rnacentral:rRNA from 1 species
AUUGAACGCUGGCGGCAGGCCUAACACAUGCAAGUCGAACGGUAGCACAGAGAGCUUGCUCUCGGGUGACGAGUGGCGGACGGGUGAGUAACGUCUGGGAAACUGCCCGAUGGAGGGGGAUAACUACUGGAAACGGUAGCUAAUACCGCAUAACGUCGCAAGACCAAAGUGGGGGACCUUCGGGCCUCACACCAUCGGAUGUGCCCAGAUGGGAUUAGCUAGUAGGUGGGGUAAUGGCUCACCUAGGCGACGAUCCCUAGCUGGUCUGAGAGGAUGACCAGCCACACUGGAACUGAGACACGGUCCAGACUCCUACGGGAGGCGGCAGUGGGGAAUAUUGCACAAUGGGCGCAAGCCUGAUGCAGCCAUGCCGCGUGUAUGAAGAAGGCCUUCGGGUUGUAAAGUACUCUCAGCGGGGAGGAAGGCGGUGAAGUUAAUAGCUUCACCGAUUGACGUUACCCGCAGAAGAAGCACCGGCUAACUCCGUGCCAGCCGCCGCGGUAA